AGGAAAAGGAAAAGACAGAGACGGAGGGGGCAGAAGGGGAGGCAGAGCAGGGACAAAGGCCUGGCAGCUCUCAGCGGUAAUGACGUGGGGGGCAGCAAAUUCUCACCUCUCUGAUUGGCCAAAUAGCCUUAGGAGCACUGGGCCCCAGGUACAGGAUGCUCCACUGAGAAAGCGAAUAUCAGGGCAUCUGGGGAGCCAGGUGAGUGGGACACUGGGGAAAGCUUCACAAUGGACACGUUCGCGGCUGCAGCGAUUCUGAGGAUUUACCCGGAGGAGAAUACAGAUUCUCCUGAGUGGAUCCCUCUCCAGUGUCCUGUCGCUGUGGCCGGGAAGCUGUUAGAUCACUCAACAACUGGAACGUUACUUCUGAAAAGCCAAUGGGUCACAGGCAGUGACCCCGAGAAGAAAGAGAGGAGGAGAUGAGAGCGUGUGUCCCUGCUGUAGCUGUACUGUCCCCAUGCCCUCCGAUGCCGAAGAGGUCCCAGCAGAGUCUGUCAUUGAGGAAGCCUGGAGGGGCAGACCCACCGAGGGCAGCUCCCGGCUGCCAGGCCGGGCGUCAAGAGACGCAGCCCUCAAGUGGAGUGUUGACAGAGCGCCCGCGCCCUGCCGGAGAUUAGGUGGCUGAUCUUGUAAGGAUCAGCGACUUACUCGGUGCUGUUUACACUGGCAUUGAUGUAGUGACAUUCUGAUCUAAUUACAUGUCAAUAAACCAAAGUCCUGAUUCACUGUGGAGGUCGGAGCGGAUUACGGGACUCCAUCGGCAAUUCUUAGAGAACAAGGACUCAGCCUUCGGAUUCAAUUACUGCCAAGUUAGCCAACUGUAAAGCCACGGCUCGGAGGGGGGAACAUGGGGAGAGAGGUCAGCCCACCGGACCUGCCCUUCCUGCUACAUUAAAAGUUCUGAUCAGGGAGGCUUCUUUUCUCUGAGCUGAUCAACUCUUGUACUUAAUCCAGCUAACUGCUAGCUACCAGAAACCGGGUGCAGAACUGCAGGAAAACAAACAGCCAUCACUCGCAAAUCAGCCGGGUGCCUCUGCCUACAGCCACCACACACAAAGGAGCCAGCUCUGCCCACCCAGAGCUGACAAAGAGGCCAGGAGAGUGAGGCCAGGGCGUGCUUGCCCCACCCUGCUGCCUAGGCC
ensembl:lncRNA